CGUGUAGGCGGCCGUACAGGUCAGCUGUGAAAACUCGAGGCUCAACCUCGAGACGUCGGUUGAAACCGUACGGCUAGAGUCCGGAAGAGGAGAGUGGAAUUCCCGGUGUAGCGGUGAAAUGCGCAGAUAUCGGGAAGAACACCCGUGGCGAAGGCGGCUCUCUGGGACGGUACUGACGCUGAGACGCGAAAGCGUGGGGAGCAAACA
rnacentral:rRNA from 1 species